CGACUGGAUCGAAAAAGGUGCCUGCCUCCAUGGACAAACCCACCGCCUUCACGCCUUCGCGGAACAAUCCUGCGAGGGUUGGGCAGGUCCCGGCCGGAGGGCUGAGGGGCGGUGGGAAGCGGGGGAGGGGAGGGGUCGGCAGGCUGCCCUUUCUAGCUCUCCCGGGUGCGCUCCUCGCUCUUUCUCUUUUCUAUUGCUGCCGCUCCAUCUUGCCUGAGAAAUUACACAAAUAAUUUCAAGAGCAGCUGAAGCUACCGUAAUACUCAUCCUGACAACGUUCACCCUGUGCCAAACAAGUAUAUAUUCAUCCUUUUAGAUGCCCCUGAAACACAGAAAUAUCCACAUCAAAACUUACUUCUUCUUUCUUAAUCUUGAAUUUCCCUAGUUAAAAACUGAUUAGAUUUUUAAGACUAGAUUCUGAACAAAACUAAUCAUGCUUUAAAAUUUGAACUUCUUUCACUUUAAUGUGUUCCUUUUCCCUUCACCUAAAUGACCAUUUUUAAGUGUAUAAUUCAGUGGAUUUUAUUAUUUUAUUGAAGUAUAGUUGAUGUACAAUAUUAUGUAAGUUACAGAUAUGUAAAAGAGCAUUUUUAAAACCUCUUUUGCAGUAGGAAAUCAAGUGCUACAAUAAAUUUAGGAUAAAUUUGUCUCAAUUUGGUCUCAAAAAUGUUCAAAAAGCAAGGUGACUACCUAUUCUUUUUUAUGGAGAGAAAUCCAAUUUUCAGUUUUUAAAAAUAACAGUUUAAAAGAAGGUUGGAUGUAUAUUACCAGAUGUAAAAUAGAUGACCAGUGCAAGUUCAACACAUAAAGCAGGUCACUCAAAGCUGGUGCCCUGGGACAACCCAGAGGGACUUGGGAGGGGGGUUGAAGAUGGGGAGACACAUGUACACCCGUGGCUGAGUCAUGUCAAUGUAUGGCCAAAACCACCACAAUAUUGUGAAGUAAUUAGCCUUCAAUUACAAUAAAUAAAUUUUUUAAAAAAGAAGGUUGAUCAUGGGCUACUCUCAGGGCGCAUCACUAAUUCACUCAGCAUGAGGCUUACAGUAUUUCUGGUAUCUUUGAUAUUCUUUUGCUUCAGAACCAUCAUUGCCUUCCACUGGCUAACUGUUGCUCUUCAGGGGACUGUUUGCCCAUAUAUAGUUCUCAUAUUAAUCAUUUUUUUCAGAAUAUAUC
rnacentral:lncRNA from 1 species